AUGGUUUGUGUUGUUACACAUGGUUCUCAACGCGUUCCUUCGAUGUCCUUGGGCUCUUCUUCUUCCGUUGGUGCUUCUAAUGGGAGGUUGGCUGGUAAGGGUGGUUCUAAUCUUGGGCUGAUGAGUCAUGGUGGCGACGCCAGGAACGACAGCCGUGGGAAACGUCCUGUAUAUUCAUCGUUUGGUCCUCCGAUUUCUCCAUCGUAUUUGGAUCGAGACAAAGCUUACUCUUGCCGGCAGGAAGGUUCCUGUUUACUUCAUGAUGGUGGACGUCCUGUGUACUUCCUCCGUCCGAAAAUACUGGUCAUAAAAAAAGGAUGUAUUUAG
rnacentral:rRNA from 1 species